UCCCUGCCGUUAGAAUCCGUUAGAAAAUUUUAGUUAACCAUAGGUUAAAUAUCUAACCCUGGUUAAUUUUUGACCUUUUUACCCCUUUAUAUUAUACUAUUAUGAAUUUUGGAGGGAUAUAUUUGCGUGGCAAAAUUGAAAAUAUAAACAGUUCUCUAACGGUUCUCUAAUGAUAACAGAUCAGAGGGAUAUAUUUGAAAAUAUCAGAAUUUUUCUAGUAACAACAUAUGAAAGUUGAACUUUGUAAAGGUAUAUUUGUCAUGCAUUAUGUUUGCAGGAACUUGUAUGAAAUUAACCCUAAAUUAUAUGACAUAACCGUUUAUCUCCAAUUGUUAAAGCUUUUAUUAGGCUUCGUUUGGUUCAGGUAUAAAUAAGAAAUGUUUAUUCCAGGGAUGAAUACAAGUUCAAGUAUAAGCAAGAAUUAGACCAAUUUUGCGUUUGAAUGAAAAUUAAGUUGCUUCCACGAAUAAAAAAAAAAAAAAGCAUUGGAUAAAUAAAAUGGAAUAAGAAAAAUAGUAGGUAGAUGUAAAUAGAAAAUGAUGGCAUUACUCCUCUCAUUAAGAUAUAUGAAAAAUAUUUUUUUUUUCUCUACAAGUUUAAGGGGGUGUUUGGCCUAACUUUUAAAAAGCGCUUUUGGGCUGAAAAAUAAUUUUCGGCUCAAUAGAGCGUUUAGCAACUCACUUUUAAAAUCUGAUUCAACUUUUUAGAAUCAGAAAACUGAUUUUGAAGGCCCAGAAUCAGAAACAGAAAAAAGCUAUAUUUUGAAAUCUGAUUCUGAUUUUGGAUUAAAACUUCAAAUUUUUAUUUUUAUUUUAAUUUUAAUAUUUAAAUUUAAAUUUAAAUUUAAUUUUUAAUUUUCAUAUUCAAAUUUCAAUUUUAAAUUUUAAAUUUUAAAUUACAAUUUUAAUUUUAAUUUAAUUUUAAAUUUUAAAUUUCAAAUUUCAAAUUUCAAAUUAUAAUUUUAAUCUUCAAAUUAUAAAUUUUAAAUUUUAAAAUUUAAAAUUUAAAAUUUUAAAAUAUAAAUUUUAAAUAUUCAAAUUUUUAAUUUUAAAUUUUAAAUAUUCAAAUUUUAAAUUUUAAAUUUUAAAUUUUAAAUAUCUAAAUUUUAAAUUUUAAAUUUCAUAAUUAUUUUAAAUUUUCAAUUUUCAAUUUUCAAUUUUAAAAUUUAAUUUUAAAAUUUACAUUUUGAAAUUUAAAAUUUAAAAUUUAAAUAUAUUUUUAAAUAUUUAUAUUUUAUAUUUUAUAUUUCAUAAUUAUUUAUAUUUUUACAUUUAAAUUUUAAAUUUCAAAUUUUAAAUUUAGAUUUUAAAUUUUAAAUUUUAAAUUCUAAAUUUAAAGUUUGAAAUUUUAAUUUUAAUUUAUAUUUUUAUAUAUUAAAAUUUUAUAUUUUAAAAUUCAUAAUUAUAUAUAUUUUUAAAUUUAUAUUUAUAUUUUUAAAUUUUAAAUUUCAUAAUUAUUUUAAAUUUUAAAAUUUUAAAAUUUUAAAUUAUUUUUUAAAUUAAAAUAUCAAAAUUUAAAUUUUGUGCAAUUUUAAAAUUUUAAAAUUUUAAUUUUAAUUCAAAUUUAAAUUUAAAUUUUAAAUUAUUUUAAAAUAAAAUUUAAUAAAAAUAUUAAUUUAUGCUAACAUCAAAAAAAAUUUGCCAAACAGCUUUUCAAAAUCACUUCAGAAAAAUCACUUUUAUCUAAACUCUGUCAAACGCUUUACAGCUUUUAACCAAAAUUACUUCUCCAAACCAAAAUUACUUUUUCAAAAAUCACUUUUUCAGAAGGUAGGCCAAACAGGUCCUAAGUUGUCAGGAAUGAUAUUUUUUAUAUUUAUAUUCAGCAUGUUCACAGCGCAUAGGAACAGUAGUGAAUUUUUAACAAAUUUUUUAAGGUUUGUUUCUUAGUAGGUUGGAACGAAUUCCAAAUAAAUCACUUUCUUCUUUUAAUUUUUGACUCUCACUUAUCAUCUUACUACUCACUCACCAUCCUAAUACUCA
rnacentral:lncRNA from 1 species